rnacentral:rRNA from 1 species
UACAGAGGUCCCAAGCGUUGUUCGGAUUCACUGGGCGUAAAGGGUGCGUAGGUGGCCUGGUAAGUUUGAUGUGAAAGCUCAGGGCUUAACCCUGAAAUGGCAUUGAAUACUACUGUGCUGGAGGUUUGGAGGGGGGACUGGAAUUCUUGGUGUAGCAGUGAAAUGCGUAGAUAUCAAGAGGAACACCAGUGGCGAAGGCGAGUCCCUGGACAACACCUGACACUGAGGCACGAAAGCUAGGGGAGCAAACGGG